rnacentral:rRNA from 1 species
CAUGUCCUUUUGAUUAUAAUUUAAGGUCUAAUCUGCCCACUGAAAUUUUAAAUGGCCGCAGUAAUUUGACUGUGCUAAGGUAGCAUAAUCAUUAGUUUUUUAAUUGAAAGCUGGAAUGAAUGAUUGGAUGAAAUAAAAACUGUCUCAAAUUUAUUUAAAUAGAAUUUUAUUUUUAAGUUAAAAAGCUUAAAUUUGUUUAAAAGACGAGAAGACCCUAUAGAGUUUUAUAUAUAAAAUUAUAUUUUAAUUAUUAUUUAAAAAAUUUUAUGUAGUUUUUUAUAUUUUGUUGGGGUGACAAAAAAAUUUGAUAAACUUUUUUUUUAUUUUAACAUUUAUAAAUGAUUAAUUGAUCCAUUAAUUAUGAUUAAAAGAUUAAAUUACCUUAGGGAUAACAGCGUAAUUUUUUUUAAGAGUUCAAAUCGAAAAAAAAGAUUGCGACCUCGAUGUUGGAUUAAAGUUUAAUUUUGGUGUAGCAGCUAAAAAUUUAAGUCUGUUCGACUUUUAAAACUUUACAUGAUCUGAGU